CCGGCCAGGAGCCCUCCGACCGCUUUCCAACUGUGACAUCGGCGAGUGACCAUCCAGGUUUGUCUGGCUCGGGUUCACACCCCUUUGCUGUGCUGCACCGUGAGUCAAGCUCCUCUGACAGCACAGAGCCAUCUCCCCACUCCAGGACUCCUGCCUGUCCUUCCCACCGUCCCCUAGGACAGCUCUUCAGAGAGGUCGUGAGCAAAGCUCUGGGAGGUGGAGAAACGCCAUGCUGGGAGGGGACAUGGAGAUGCCCUUGAUGACGCUUAGAGUGUGGUCCACGGCCCGACUCUGCAGAAGGUCUGGUGUGAGCUGAGUCCAGCUCUAGUAGGAGAACUGUGAGUUCCAUAUACACAGAUAUACUUUGAAGCAUUUUCAAGUGAUUCAACGCUUUCUGAAAAGAUCUUCUUUGAUGAGGAUGUCAGGGGGCAUCUCAUGAAGGGGCAUCCUCUCUGCUGGCCAUGGCUCCCCCACUGUCUCACUCUUAUGGGGGACCUGGCUUCCCUCCCAUGUGGGCGGUGUGCUGAGCCCGGCUGGUCCCACACCCCCACCGCCCUGAUUGCUGGGACACCUUUGGAGCUACUUGGAUGGGGCCCUGAUCCUUUCUCCCCGAGGCCGCAGCCUUCAGAGCAUGCUGGUCUGGGUGAGGGUGUCAGAUAGAAGUGUUUACAUUUGCAGCAGCGUUGGAAAGAAGGGAGCUGUGAAACAGUCCAAAUGUCUCUGUGAUGGUCCCAAAAUGCCUACAUGUAGUUUUCUCCUUGGCUCACUCAGAGAAGUACAGGUUCCUGAGUGCCUGAGCUGGGCUUACUUGACCUCUCAGUCAUUACUUCAUUUCAUCCUCGGGAAAGGCCUCGGGACAUUUCCUGAUCUUCUCAGGGAAGAAGCCCAUGACCAGGAGGAUGAACCAACCAGCCAAUCAGAGGCCAGGCUGGCCUGAACCAGGACUGCUCACAUCCAUUACAUUCUUCCCAGCUCUCUCCUGCUGGACGCAAGUUCGGAGGUUUGGACCCCUCUGCUGACCUCAACUGGCCCCGUGUAGUGUGGACUGACUCCUUCAUGGCUCAGCUGAGCCCAGGGGACAUCCCAGAAAGCUCUGCAUGCAUACACUCUUCUCUCCUUUGUACUGUUCGUUUGGACAUCAGUUUAUGUUUUUUUAUAAAU